rnacentral:lncRNA from 1 species
CAGCAUUGGGAUGGAGAAUAAUCCUUACACUGGACUGGAAGUGGCUGCUGAAAACCUAAGAAAUCCAAAAGAGGUGCAGUCUAGACUUCGCCUGAUACUAUCCUGAUUUGACUCACUAGUUCACGCAUGUAUUUAAUACACAGGAUUAUCCAGGGUGGUGAGCUGGGCACCAUGAUAGAUGCCACAUUUUCCAUGAUGGCUUACAAUAGUGCCAACGCAGUCUUUACAGGAACCAUGAGCAUCACCUUCAAGAGGUCUGUUUCCUUGGGGUGCCUAGGUGGCUCAGUGAGCUCACUGCUCCAAGUUCCGCCGUUAAAUUUCCUGGGUGAAGAAUGGAUACUGGAAAGUAUUGGAAGCCUGUCACUAUGAAAAGCUUGGACUUUAUUCUUCAGAUAAUCAGGGACAUGGAAGGUAUGUGCCUGCUUUUUUCAACAGGA